AUGAACGUUGGCGGCGUGGAUUAGGCAUGCAAGUCGAGCGCGAACCCGCAAGGGGGAGAGCGGCAAACGGGGUAGGAUGGAUUGGUGACGUACCCUCCGGACGGGGAUAGCCAUGGGAAACUAUGGGUAAUACCCGAUGACCUCCUAGGUUUGAAUACUUAGGCGCAAAGGUGUGAUUCCACCGGCGGAGCGGCCAAUCUGACAUCAGCUAGUUGGUAAGGUAACGGCUUACCAAGGCUUUGACGUCUAGGGGGUGUGAGAGCAUGGCCCCCACCACUGGGACUGAGAUACUGCCCAGACACCUACGGGUGGCUGCAGUCGAGAAUCUUCGGCAAUGGGCGAAAGCCUGACCGAGCGACGCCGCGUGCGGGAUGAAGGCCUUCGGGUUGUAAACCGCUGUCAGAGGGGAUGAAGUUAUGGUGGGUUCUCCCAUCAUAUUGACAGAGCCUCAGAGGAAGCACGGGCUAAGUAUGU
rnacentral:rRNA from 1 species